AAAUUUUCAACGAUGGAUGUCUUGGCUCCCAUAACGAUGAAGAACGCAGCAAGAAUGCGAUAUGCAAUGUGAAUUGCAGAACCACGAAUCAUUUGAUCUUUGAACGCAAAUGGCGCUGAUUAUAUCAGCAUACUUGUUUCAGUGUGCAU
rnacentral:rRNA from 1 species